rnacentral:rRNA from 1 species
UACAGAGGUCUCAAGCGUUGUUCGGAUUCAUUGGGCGUAAAGGGUGCGUAGGCGGCGCGGUAAGUCGGGUGUGAAAUCUCGGGGCUUAAACUCCGAAACUGCAUUCGAUACUGCCGUGCUUGAGGACUGGAGAGGAGACUGGAAUUUACGGUGUAGCGGUGAAAUGCGUAGAUAUCGUAAGGAAGACCAGUGGCGAAGGCGGGUCUCUGGGACAGUUCCUGACGCUGAGGCACGAAGGCCAGGGGAGCAAACGGGG